UACGUAGGUGGCAAGCGUUGUCCGGAAUUAUUGGGCGUAAAGAGCGCGCAGGCGGUCGUUCAAGUCGAGUGUGAAAGCCCCCGGCCCAACUGGGGAGGGUCACUCGAUACUGAUCGACUCGAAGGCAGGAGAGGGAAGUGGAAUUCCCGGUGUAGUGGUGAAGUGCGUAGAUAUCGGGAGGAACACCAGUGGCGAAGGCGACUUCCUGGCCUGUUCUUGACGCUGAGGCGCGAAAGCUAGGGGUGCAAACGGG
rnacentral:misc_RNA from 1 species